UGAGGAAUAUUGGUCAAUGGACGGAAGUCUGAACCAGCCAAGUAGCGUGCAGGAUGACGGCCCUAUGGGUUGUAAACUGCUUUUGUAUGGGGAUAAAGUUAGGGACGUGUCCCUAUUUGCAGGUACCAUACGAAUAAGGACCGGCUAAUUCCGUGCCAGCAGCCGCGGUAAUACGGAAGGUCCAGGCGUUAUCCGGAUUUAUUGGGUUUAAAGGGAGCGUAGGCUGGAGAUUAAGUGUGUUGUGAAAUGUAGACGCUCAACGUCUGAAUUGCAGCGCAUACUGGUUUCCUUGAGUACGCACAACGUUGGCGGAAUUCGUCGUGUAGCGGUGAAAUGCUUAGAUAUGACGAAGAACUCCGAUUGCGAAGGCAGCUGACGGGAGCGCAACUGACGCUUAAGCUCGAAGGUGCGGGUAUCAAACAGGAUUAGAUACCCUGGUAGUCCGCACAGUAAACGAUGGAUGCCCGCUGUUGGUACCUGGUAUCAGCGGCUAAGCGAAAGCAUUAAGCAUCCCACCUGGGGAGUACGCCGGCNCGGU
rnacentral:rRNA from 1 species